AUUGAGCGCUGGCGGCAGGCCUAACACAUGCAAGUCGAACGGUAACAGGAAGCAGCUUGCUGCUUUGCUGACGAGUGGCGGACGGGUGAGUAAUGUCUGGGAAACUGCCUGAUGGAGGGGGAUAACUACUGGAAACGGUAGCUAAUACCGCAUAACGUCGCAAGACCAAAGAGGGGGACCUUAGGGCCUCUUGCCAUCGGAUGUGCCCAGAUGGGAUUAGCUAGUAGGUGGGGUAACGGCUCACCUAGGCGACGAUCCCUAGCUGGUCUGAGAGGAUGACCAGCCACACUGGAACUGAGACACGGUCCAGACUCCUACGGGAGGCAGCAGUGGGGAAUAUUGCACAAAGGGCGCAAGCCUGAUGCAGCCAUGCCGCGUGUAUGAAGAAGGCCUUCGGGUUGUAAAGUACUUUCAGCGGGGAGGAAGGGAGUAAAGUUAAUACCUUUGCUCAUUGACGUUACCCGCAGAAGAAGCACCGGCUAACUCCGUG
rnacentral:rRNA from 1 species